UACGGGGGGGGCAAGCGUUGUUCGGAAUUACUGGGCGUAAAGGGCUCGUAGGCGGCCAACUAAGUCAUACGUGAAAUCCCUCGGCUUAACCGGGGAACUGCGUCUGAUACUGGAUGGCUUGAGAUUGGGAGAGGGAUGCGGAAUUCCAGGUGUAGCGGUGAAAUGCGUAGAUAUCUGGAGGAACACCGGUGGCGAAGGCGGCAUCCUGGACCGGUAUUGACGCUGAGGCGCGAAAGCCAGGGGAGCAAACGGG
rnacentral:rRNA from 1 species